UCUCGCGUCAGGAUAUGCCUAGGUGGGAUUAGCUAGUUGGUGAGGUAAGGGCUCACCAAGGCGACGAUCCCUAGCUGGUCUGAGAGGAUGAUCAGCCACACUGGAACUGAGACACGGUCCAGACUCCUACGGGAGGCAGCAGUGGGGAAUAUUGCACAAUGGGCGCAAGCCUGAUGCAGCCAUGCCGCGUGUGUGAAGAAGGCCUUCGGGUUGUAAAGCACUUUCAGUCGUGAGGAAGGUAGUGUAGUUAAUAG
rnacentral:rRNA from 1 species